UAAGAUAAAUCCACACCCGUCGUGAGGCGAGUCCGGAAAGCCACGGGUCUUAAGAUUGAAAGAUAGCCGGGUUGUCAACA
rnacentral:ncRNA from 1 species